rnacentral:rRNA from 1 species
AGUGAACGCUGGCGGUAGGCCUAACACAUGCAAGUCGAACGGCAGCACAGUAAGAGCUUGCUCUUACGGGUGGCGAGUGGCGGACGGGUGAGGAAUACAUCGGAAUCUACUUUUUCGUGGGGGAUAACGUAGGGAAACUUACGCUAAUACCGCAUACGACCUACGGGUGAAAGCAGGGGAUCUUCGGACCUUGCGCGAUUGAAUGAGCCGAUGUCGGAUUAGCUAGUUGGCGGGGUAAAGGCCCACCAAGGCGACGAUCCGUAGCUGGUCUGAGAGGAUGAUCCGCCACACUGGAACUGAGACACGGUCCAGACUCCUACGGGAGGCAGCAGUGGGGAAUAUUGGACAAUGGGCGCAAGCCUGAUCCAGCCAUACCGCGUGGGUGAAGAAGGCCUUCGGGUUGUAAAGCCCUUUUGUUGGGAAAGAAAAGCAGCAGGUUAAUACCCCGCUGUUCUGACGGUACCCAAAGAAUAAACACCGGCUAACUUCGUG